AGAAUCAAAACUACCUUACGUUCUUCACGUAUCCAUAAAGCUUUCUUAUGGGGUUGUCAUCAGUCCACGAAGUCAGAGAACGAAGAGGAAGAAAUGAGCAAUGCUUCUAAUGACCGUUCUAGGAUUUUUAAAGGGGAUGUAUAAGUGAAAGGACGAAAAUGCCCCAAACUUGCAAGACAUGUGGGAAUUUUAACUCUAAAAUCAAACGGUAGGUUAGAUUAGGGACCAGACUUUAACAAAUUAAACAAUCAAGGAUUCACGGGGUUAAAAAAUGGAGUUAGGGACUAGGCACGCAUGAAACACCAAACCACAGGGACCAUUCGUUUAAUUUGUCCUUAGUUAUACCAUCAUCUUAUCAUCUCACAGCCUCCAUCGUGUGUUCUGUUCUUUCUCAUCGAUGUUGCUCCGCCUGCAAUCGUAUUCCGUCGCCGGCAAUCGUUUUCCAUCGCCUCCAGGUGGUGCGAUUCCUACUCGACUGUUUCUCUUCUCCAUCUAUUCAGGUGAUUUUCUUCUGCAACAGGGAAAAAGCGGUGGAAAAAAGACUGUGAGAUUUGGUUGGUUCUUUCUCUUGAAUGUACAAGUUGUCUCUUGGAAGCCAUACUAUUGUCAAGUUUGAGCUGGGGUUUCACAAAUGCCCAAACUGUUCCGAAAGUCUAGGAAUAAUUGUGCAGGGAGGCCCUUUGUAAAUAUAUCUGCAAACUGAUGUGCUGAUGGCACAUGCAAGACACGCACAUGGUCAACCGCAACACGUUCCCUAACAAAAUGUAAAUCAAUUUCCACAUGUUUGGUACGUUGGUGCUGAAUUGGAUUAGAAGCUAGGUACAUGGCACUGACAUUGUCACAAAACACAACCGUGGCCUUAGUUAAUGGGCAAGACAACUCAAGAAGAUGAUUUUGCAGCCAUGUUGUGUGACAACCCGAAGUUUAUCCCGUCUUUGUAACCCGUUCACUUAUUAAAAUUCGUCUUUUUCGGAUUGUUUCCAUUUACAUUUUAAGUUAAGUCAUUUAAUUUAAGACUUGUAUUAUGAUCUCGUAAGUAUCCAAACACGUUAGAAACUCAUGAAAACAUCCCAAACUAUUAUUUAGUAAAUUAUUAGUUUCGACCACGUCGGGUUACGACAACUAAAUCGGGUGCGACCAAAAGCCCCGUUUAACGUCAGUAUCGGGUAGAAUUCCACCGUGUCUCAAACUUUAACCAUAUAUAAAGUGGAAUGAGCCUCAUUUGAAGCCUUUUUCACUCUCUCUCUCUACUCUCUCUCCUCUAAUCCAAGCUCUAGGUCCAAAAUCAUCAAAUUAAAGCUCCAAAUCAUCAAGGUAACUACCCUAACUCAUAGUAUAACAUCUUUAGCCUUCAAAUUUGUGUUUAAUCUAUAAAAUAGGACCAUUAUCAUGAUUUUACGGCCAUAGAACAGUCCUAGGCCGUGAACUCACAUAAAAUGGGUUUUGGAGCCCAAAAACCCUCCCAAAUCACUCUUGGAGCUUAGAAAUGACUUAAGGACUUAUUGGAUUGGACUUGGAACACCUUGAACUCAACAUUUAGGGGGUAAACAUGAGUUUACAGCCCAAGCAGACCGUAAACACCAUUUCAUGGGCAGUAAACUCAUUUUUAGGUGUUAAGAUGCCACUUAAACACCUCCUAAGCCUUGGAAUAAAGUCUAGAAGCAACCACAAGUGUGUUAGGGACCUUAAUCAUCAAGAAAACUACCCCCUUAGGAGUUCACGACCGUAAACCCCCCAAGGAUAGGUUCCUGGGCCGUAAACUCCUAAAACAUGGUCAAAUGAUUCCCUAAAUUCCAUCCAAGGCUUGUAAAAUGACUUAGAAUCACAUAUGAUUAAUCUAGGGCCACCAAAUCAUGAAAGGAAAGAGUACAUAGGAGCUUACGGCCGUAAACUCCUAGUUCACAUCCGUAAACUCCAUUAGAUGGUCCAUAUGUUGGUUUAAUCCAUUCCUAUACCCUAGAUUUGAUCCUAGCUAAUUUUCCCAAGUGAUAUAAAGCCAUUUAGCAACCUAGAACCCACCACCCAUGAGUUUACAGCCGUAAACUCAUGGGGAUAUGGUCUUAGGGCCGUAAUCUCUUCAAGGAGUUUACUCUUGAAGAGCAAACCCCAUAUCUAUGCCCCAUACGUCCGUAGAUGCCACCCGGGUCACUCCAAACACUUGAAUAGAAGUGUUUUCGCGUCUCGAAGUGUAUAUCCUCAACUUAUUAGUAGUACAAAGCCUAAUUAGAUACAAAUGUGUAUCUUUUUAUAUUACAUAGGAACCUCGCACGCGUUCAAUCCCCGAACCGAUGUUUAGCACCCAAACCGACACGUUUCUCGACCAGUGAGUUCCUACCCCUCCGCAUUUUUCAAUAUUUUCAGGGGGGAAUACAAGCAAAAGUACAAGGAUAGCUUGUACUCAAACUUAUUAUUUCAUUUGAAAUGUUUCAUAUUCCACAUGCUUUUAACAAUCAAAACCGU